rnacentral:rRNA from 1 species
UUAUUGGGCGUAAGGGCUCGUAGGUGGUUGAUCGCGUCGGAAGUGUAAUCUUGGGGCUUAACCCUGAGCGUGCUUUCGAUACGGGUUGACUUGAGGAAGGUAGGGGAGAAUGGAAUUCCUGGUGGAGCGGUGGAAUGCGCAGAUAUCAGGAGGAACACCAGUGGCGAAGGCGGUUCUCUGGGCCUUUCCUGACGCUGAGGAGCGAAAGCGUGGGGAGCGAACAGGCUUAGAUACCCUGGUAGUCCACGCUGUAAACGGUGGGUACUAGGUGUGGGGUCCAUUCCACGGGUUCCGUGCCGUAGCUAACGCUUUAAGUACCCCGCCUGGGGAGUACGGCCGCAAGGCUAAAACUCAAAGGAAUUGACGGGGCCCCGCACAAGCGGCGGAGCAUGCGGAUUAAUUCGAUGCAACGCGUAGAACCUUACCUGGGUUUGACAUGGAUCGGGAGUGCUCAGAGAUGGGUGUGCCUCUUUUGGGGUCGGUUCACAGGUGGUGCAUGGCUGUCGUCAGCUCGUGUCGUGAGAUGUUGGGUUAAGUCCCGCAACGAGCGCAACCCUUGUUCACUGUUGCCAGCACGUUAUGGUGGGGACUCAGUGGAGACCGCCGGGGUCAACUCGGAGGAAGGUGGGGAUGACGUCAAGUCAUCAUGCCCCUUAUGUCCAGGGCUUCACGCAUGCUACAAUGGCUGGUACAGAGAGUGGCGAGCCUGUGAGGGUGAGCGAAUCUCGGAAAGCCGGUCUCAGUUCGGAUUGGGGUCUGCAACUCGACCUCAUGAAGUCGGAGUCGCUAGUAAUCGCAGAUCAGCAACGCUGCGGUGAAUACGUUCCCGGGGCUUGUACACACCGCCCGUCAAGUCAUGAAAGUUGGUAACACCCGAAGCC